AGUUGAUGACUUAGAGUCUGUGCUCUCUUGGUUAGAAGGAAAGAAACUUGCUCACAUUAAAGUUAAAAGGAGGUUAUCCUAAGGAUACAAGGAUGUUUACAAGGAAUCCUGGGAAGACUGAACAAUUGAGCUGCAGAGACAGUGGAAACUGAGAGUUGGUUGUCUUAUGUGUCUAGCCUUACGGAUAUUUGGUUACAAGGAAUGGGAAACAACUCAAGUCAAAUUAAACAAAAAUAGAAGGCAUCAAAUGCAAGUCAAAGGAAGAAAGCUACAAAACCAAUUCAAUAACAUCUGAAGCCUGAGAGGAAAAUGAAAGACAAGAGGCUGUGGCUGCAGCUGUGUCUGCUGACAACAGGAUAAAAAUGGUUGCAUUGAGAGUGAGCUGCAUUUUCACCAGGCAGAGCAAACUGGGAGCUAAUGUGUUUCUUGGAAAUCAAAAGAGGACUCCAAGAAUAGAAGCUUUUAAGAGGACUGGCUGGAGAGUCAAAGAAGAUCCAUUAGCUUCUGGACCACUGAAAACCUAAGGGCUGAUGGUGGGGCAGGGUAAGUGGCCGGCAGCAGGGAGACAUUUUCUGUAUCUAGGAUGGUAUAGAAAAGACCCCCACUGGACAGAUCUACAAAGAACAACUAAAGAGUCUCAUGGUAGAACAGGUCAGCUCUGGACAUCAUUCAAAUCCAGGGGAGCCUCUUAUACUGGAUUGCAAUUGUGUUGGGCAUGUACAAUGGUGUUCUUUUUCUCUAAUGGCUUCUUUCUUCUGGUCAGUCUCUGGAAGGGGUGAAAGAGUGAGAAAUAGUAGCCAGCAAGUGUAGAAAGAGAUGUGGAAGAGAGAACGGGGAAACAGAAAUUGCAUUUCUCCCACGUUCCAAAUGUAGGUUAUCCGGGUUAAAUGUAGGCCCCACCUGACUAGGCAAAGAUUUUUUCCUUUGUUGUGAGUUUGAAAAGAACUAAACAUCAUACUGAAGUGGAAUUAUUGAAAUUGGAUAGACCCAGGUUCAAAUGUUGACUCAGUUAUGUAACAUCUUGUGAAUUUUGACAGGUUCCUUAACUCCACUGAGUCUGUUUUUAUACCCAUGAAAUGGAUGUAGGAUUGUUAUGAACAUUAAUUGAAAAAUUAUAUAUAAAAUAAGUGUCCAGCAUAGUUCCUGGCACAUACUAGUGCUUGAAAACUACCAAUCAACUUCAUCAAUUUGUGUUAUGCCCUGCAUGGGCACAUAUUUGUCCUGAUACUCUUCAAAAUGUAGAAGUACCCACAGAAAAAUUGUCUCAGUUCAAGCACAGUAUUAUUAAUAUUCUACUGAGUACUAAGUAUGGUCGUUAAUAGUCUAAUAUGAGGAAGUCAAAACAGUCUCUGGAAAAAGUCUUUCUGCAAGCUUUUUGAAGCUUCAGGGAUUGCUACAAAGACUGGAAAAUCGAUCUUGAACUCAGCCUUUUAAUUUCUUUUCAUGAUUACUGUUCUCAAAUGGAGAAUGCAAUUAAAAUUAAUGCUGUCUUAGUUCACUUGCCUCAAAAUAAACAUUGAUCAAAUUCUAUGUGAAGGGUCUGUAACAUCUCUUCUAUAAUCAUUUUAAAAUAUAUUAACAGAGAUCUGUGUAUUGUAGAACAAAGGGGACUGUUUCUGGGAGACAGGAGUUCUGAGUUCUGGCUCUAGCUCUGCCAUGUUCUGUGUGACCUACGAAAAGGCACGUCUUCUGUUUGAGUCCCCUUCUCCUCUGUAAGAUGGGUACAUUAAUACUUCACAGGAGUACUUAAGGAUCACACACGUCAAGCAUGAUAAUGGCA
rnacentral:lncRNA from 1 species